CCUGCUGCCAUGAUGUGCAAUUACAGGAUAGAGGUGCCAGGUGAAGGUCCCACUGUGGCCAAGGAAAGCCUUUGUGAGACGACUACUUCAGGGUGUUCCCCAUCAGAGGAGCACACCCCUGAUCUUGUAUUCCUCGUCAAUCCAAGGUCCAUGUGAAAUGGUCAGAUGGGGAAUUUUUUCUUCCACAGACAUCAGGAUCUUCUGAGUUUCUUCAUCAAAGCCAGAUUUGUGCAGCCUGGGAAAAUAGAAAUAAAGUUUUUUUUUUUGUUUUUCAUUUUUACACAGUAUUGCCUCUCUACAUUCUGAUGUCU
rnacentral:lncRNA from 10 species